ACGCACGCUGGCGGCAGGCUUCACACCUGCCAGUCGAACGGAUCCUUCGGGAUUAGUGGCAGACGGGUGAGUAACGCGUGGGAACGUACCCUUUGCUACGGAAUAACUCAGGGAAACUUGAGCUAAUACCGUAUGUGCCCUACGGGGGAAAGAUUUAUCGGCAAAGGAUCGGCCCGCGUUGGAUUAGCUAGUUGGUGGGGUAAUGGCCUACCAAGGCGACGAUCCAUAGCUGGUCUGAGAGGAUGAUCAGCCACACUGGGACUGAGACACGGCCCAGACUCCUACGGGAGGCAGCAGUGGGGAAUAUUGGACAAUGGGCGCAAGCCUGAUCCAGCCAUGCCGCGUGAGUGAUGAAGGUCUUAGGAUUGUAAGGCUCUUUCAACGGUGAAGAUAAUGACGGUAGCCGGAGAAGAAGCCCCGGCUAACUUCGUG
rnacentral:rRNA from 1 species